UGACAACUGUAAAUAAGAAUUAAGUGAGUAUUGGGGAAAAAAAUAAUUACCCACCCAACUACAUCUUAUGUCUUACGGAAAAGGGAUGCUCAGCUUUGCCUGAGAUUCAUAUGGUGAGAGUCCUUUCCUCCACUUUGAUCAUUUAAUGUGAGAAACUUACUUGUGGUAGAUAAGUGAGAUUUGAGCUAAAUUCCAAAAACAUGUGUCUAAUAUAGGAAUCAUAUAGAUGGCCUCAGGCCUCUCACAUGCUCAGUGUCCACCAGGACUAACUACAAAGGAUUCAACCCUAAAAUAAUUUUGAACUGAUUUUUCUUCGAAAAUUGUGGUAGAAACAGAAAAUUAAGUUGUCAGCUUAAAAACAUUUCUGGAGGGUCUUAACUGUAUUAAAAAAUAAUGCAAAUUCAACAAACGCUCUUCGGUGAGACAGUCUUUAUCUGGGUUCUUUCCUUUGCUAACUCAACUGGAAGGGCAAU
rnacentral:lncRNA from 1 species